rnacentral:rRNA from 1 species
AAAUUGAAGAGUUUGAUCGUGGCUCAGAUUGAACGCUGGCGGCAAAUUUCUUUUAUGCAAGUCGAACGGUAACAGAAGCAGCUUGCUGCUUUGCUGACAGUGGCGAACGGGUGAGUAAUGUCUGGGAAACUGCCUGAUGGAGAGGUUGCUACUGGAAACGGUGGCUAAUACCGCAUAACGUCCUUAAAGACCAAGAGGGGACCUUCGGGCCUCUUGCCAUCAGAUGUGCCCAGAUGGGAUUAGCUGGUUGUGGUGGUAACGGCUCACCAAGGCGACGAUCCUAGCUGUGAGAGGAUGACCAUACACUGGAACUGAGACACGGUCCAGGCUCCUACGGGGAGGCAGCAGUGGGGAAAUAUUGCACAAUGGGCGCAAGCCUGAUGUAAACCAUGCCGCGUGUAUGAAGAAGGCCUUCGGGUUGUAAAAGUACUUUCAGCGGGGAGGAAGGUGUUGUGGUUAAUAACCGCAGCAGUGACGUUACCCGCAGAAAAGCUUUCAACUAACUCCGUGCAGCAGCCGCGGCCAAUACGGAGGGUGCAAGCGUUAAUCGGAAUUACUGGGCGUAAGCGCACGCAGGCGGUCUGUCAAGUCGGAUGUGAAAUCCCCGGGCUCAACACACAGGAACUGCAUUCGAAACUGGCAGGCUUGAGUCUUGUAGAAAUUGUUAAAUUCGGGUGUAGCGGUGAAAUGCGUGAGAUCACGGAGGAAUACCGGUGAGCGGCCCCACUGGACGAACUGACGCUCAGGUGCGAAAGCGUGGGAGCAAGCAGGAUUAGAUACCACGGUAGUCCACGCCGUAAACGAUGUCUACUUGGAGGUUGUGCCCACAUGAGGCGUGGCUUCGAGCUAACGUUAAGUAGACCGCACAGGGGUGGCCGCAAGGUUAAAACUCAAAUAGUGAGCGAGGGCCACAAGCGGUGGAGCAUGUGGUUUAAUUCGUGCAACGCGAAGAACGCUUACAGUCUUGACAUCCACAGAACUUUCAGAGAUGGACUGGUGCCUUCGGGAACUGUGAGACAGGUGCUGCAUGGCUGUCAGCUCGUGUUGUGAAAAUGUUGGGUUAAGUCCGCAACGGCACAACCCUUAUCCUUUGUUGCCAGCGGUUAGGCCGGGAACUCAAAGGAGACUGCCAGUGAUAAACUGGAGGAAGGUGGGGAUGACGUCGACUCAUCAUAGCCCCUUGACGAGGGGCUACACACGUGCUACAAUGGCGCAUACAAGAAGCGACCUCGCGAGCAAAGCGGACCUCAUAAAGUGCGUCGUAGUCCCGGAUUGGAGUCUGCAACUCGACUCCAUGAAGUCGGAAUCGCUGGUAAUCGUGGAUCAGAAUGCGGUAGACCGUUCCCGGGCCUUGUACACACCGCCCGUCACACACCAUGGGAGUGGGUUGCAAAAAGUAGGUAGCAACACCUUCGGGAGGCGCUUACCACUUUGUGAUUCAUGACUGGGUGAAGUCGUAACAAGGUAACAGCGGGAACCUGCGAGGUUGGAUCACCUCACUU